rnacentral:rRNA from 1 species
CACGUAGGCUGUUAUGUAAGUCAGGGGUGAAAGCCCACGGCUCAACCGUGGAACUGCCCUUGAUACUGCACGACUCGAAUCCGGGAGAGGGUGGCGGAAUUCCAGGUGUAGGAGUGAAAUCCGUAGAUAUCUGGAGGAACAUCAGUGGCGAAGGCGGCCACCUGGACCGGUAUUGACGCUGAGGUGCGAAAGCGUGGGGAGCAAACA